rnacentral:rRNA from 1 species
UACAGAGGUCUCAAGCGUUGUUCGGAAUCACUGGGCGUAAAGGGUGCGUAGGUGGCAUGGUAAGUCAGAUGUGAAAGCCCAGGGCUCAACCUUGGAAUUGCAUCCGAUACUGCUGUGCUAGAGUACUGGAGGGGUGACUAGAAUUCUCGGUGUAGCAGUGAAAUGCGUAGAUAUCGAGAGGAAUACCAAAGGCGUAGGCAGGUCACUGGACAGUUACUGACACUGAGGCACGAAGGCCAGGGGAGCAAAC